CAGCAGCCACGGUAAUACAGAGGUCCCAAGCGUUGUUCGGAUUCACUGGGCGUGAAGGGUGCGUAGGCGGUUGGGUAAGUUUGACGUGAAAUCUCCGGGCCUAACCCGGAAACUGCGUUGAAUACUAUCCAGCUAGAGGAUUGGAAGGGAGACUGGAAUACUUGGUGUAGCAGUGAAAUGCGUAGAUAUCAAGUGGAACACCAGUGGCGAAGGCGAGUCUCUGGACAAUUCCUGACGCUGAGGCACGAAAGCCAGGGGAGCAAACGGGAUUAGAUACCCCCGUAGUCCCUGUCUCUUAUAC
rnacentral:rRNA from 1 species